rnacentral:lncRNA from 1 species
AAGUGUAUUCUGUUACGUGUUGACACACUUGGCCGACCCACUGGGACCCAUGGCCCACCUAUGCCGAGCCACAUGGCAUCUUAGCCGAGGCUCCCAGGCCAACACAAGUCAACUAGCAUACUUAAACAACACCCAUGACGUGACCCAAAUGCUGACGUCGAAGUGAAUAGGCCGAGGUGGUCUUUCUUGCUGAGGCCCAUCAUACUGAGGCCCCGAGGCCUAAGCAGCACUCCUCCCCAGAGAUAAGGUCUUAUACAAGGAUCCUUCUUGAUUGAUUGAUAGGACACUCAUCAUAGAGUGCAAGCGUCUUGUCUUGUCAAAGUAGCGGCGAAGCUGCCGAUUAAUAAAUGUGUAGCAAGAUAGGAAGUCAAGUGUGAUAUCUAUAAUUUGACACGUAAACUUAUGAGAUGAGACCACGUGUACUCCCAAUCGAGAGCCACGAUCUAACUUGUAAUACUAUAAAUACUCCCCCAUGCAUCUCUCAGAAGGAUAAUGCAAGAUUCAAUACAAGAACCAAG